CUUUGGGUUUGUUUUGAUUACGCUGACCGUCCGGCAGACGGCGCGUGUUUCCUGCCACGCGUUCACUUUACAUCAGACCUGAAGACAGCAACACCGAGUCAUAUUUCAUCAUCACAGAUCAAGAUGCUACCUCAUCCGCUGAUCCUUUUGAGCACCUGGGCGGCUGGAAGGCAGAGUCACCAUCUGUUUAAAAAGAAGGUUCGUUUUGGCCGCUUUAACAACAACAAGGCAGAUCUCAAACAAAAAAGUAAAAGGUUCUUGUCAGAAGUGGGAUUCGAACCCACGCCUCCAGGGGAGACUGCGACCUGAACGCAGCGCCUUAGACCGCUCGGCCAUCCUGACUGAUGGGCAUUAACACUCUAUUGUUGCAAUUUAAACCAUGAAUUAAGACUAUAAUCAUCAGGAUUUGAUAACUCUCUCAGGUCAAAUGAAUGUGUCUUAUUGAUCGACAUGGUGAUCUGUGUAAUAGUUCUUGAACUGUAGUGUUAUUAUUAUUCUUAAAACGAAUUUAUAUCCAUUUGGAAAAGCAGACAAAUACAGUCAGGAUGGUCGAGCGGUCUAAGGCGCUGCGUCCGUUAUCUUUACAUCACCGUGAACUCCACCCACCUCCGGUAAAACAACAACUCCCCUUCAACAUGUCUCGUCUGUGAUUGGUCAAAAAUGUUGAAGGCGGAGAAGAUGAUUGCUGGGGGUAAGAUGCAGAAUGUUGAAGCUGUUAAUGUGACUGGCUAAUUAAUGUUGAAGCCGCGAAUGCCAUUGGCCGAUAUUCUCAACAUUCUCCAACAUUCCCAAAUGUUGAACGGACGCAGCUGGACGGCAGAGUCACCAUCUGUUUAAAAAGAAGGUAAAACAAUUUGGAAAAAAUGAUUAAAACACAUGCUAAUUGCAACGUUGGAAAGCCA